AUCCCUAAAUAAAUCCUCAAAAGUCAUUUUAAGGCCACUCUUUCCUCAUUUUCUCCUCCCAUAUAUCUCCUCCUCUUCACUCUCUUUUCUCUUUGAGACAAAACAUCAAACACCUUACUGGUAAAGCCAUGGCUUCUUCUUCUUCUCUCACUCUUUCUCAAGCUAUCCUCUCUCGUUCUGUCCCUCGCCAUGGCUCUGCCUCUUCUUCUCAACUUUCCCCUUCUUCUCUCACUUUUUCCGGACUUAAAUCUAACCCCAAUAUCACCACCUCCCGCCGCCGUACUCCUCCCUCCUCCGCCGCUGUACGGUCAACAGUGAUUCGUGCCUCGGCUGCAACCGAAACCAUAGAGAAAACUGAGACUGCGCUUGUUGACAAAUCUGUAAACACGAUUCGAUUUUUGGCUAUUGAUGCUGUUGAAAAGGCAAAUUCGGGUCACCCCGGUUUGCCCAUGGGUUGUGCUCCGAUGGGUCAUAUAUUGUACGAUGAGGUUAUGAGGUAUAACCCGAAAAACCCGUAUUGGUUUAAUCGGGAUCGGUUUGUUCUAUCAGCUGGACAUGGUUGUAUGCUUCAGUAUGCUUUGCUUCAUCUAGCUGGCUAUGAUGCUGUCAGGGUAAAACAAACUUACCCUUUUUGCCUUUUACAAUGUUUUAAUAUCCCUUUUUUGCUAAUUAGUGCAUGUAUGAUUAGAUCUAUUUUUCUUGUUUCCCAAUUUAUGUGACAAUAUUUGGCUCUGUACGAAGCUCAAGAAAAUAAGAAUACUUUUGAAACUUAUGUUUCACCUAUAAAUUAUGUCAUUAAUGGUAAAUGAGAAGUUUAAAUUUAAAUUCUUUCUAAAUAUAGAAAUGUAACUUUCUUUUUCGAUAGACUAAAAAUGAAAGAGGGAAAAAUGACUUGUGCACUUGUGGGUGAGCAAAGUCAUUUUUCUUUGCAACUAUUUUAGCUCUUACUCCAUAUCAGUUGUUACAACCAACACUUGCACAUUGUUCUCAGUUUUUAAUACCGAUUUUUUUUUUAAUCAAAGCACCUCUAAUGUUUUAAUGUUAUUAUUACUGAUAUAGAAAAAGAUUUUUUUGGAAAAUAUUUUUCAUUCACCUACCUAAUACAGGAAAUAAGUGAGAAAACCACUGAUUGAAAAUUUUUUUCAUCGAAAAGAUCUUUUUUUAUACCAAACUUACUUAAACAUGUAUGUCAUGCCAUUCUGGUAUAGCAUUUCAUGUGUUUGGUGUGGAGGUCUCGAGAAAUCAUUUUCUUGAUCUAAUUCCAGUGUUUUUGGUUUGUAUAAAAGUUGAAUCUUGCGAAGUGUAGGAUAAGAUAUUAGGAAAGUGUUUGACGAAAUCUUGAGUAUGAUGUUGAUUGAAGUAAGUGAUAUGGAAGAGGAGUUGGUAUGAUUAUCAAGGAAAAUGUAAUUUUCUCACGUUUGGUGCAAAAUAUUUUCCUCAGAGAAACAUUUUUCACAAUUUUAGGUAUCCAAACUCCGGAAAGUAUUUUCCUCGUGGAACUGUUUUCCAAGAAAAAUUUUCCUCCAUACCGAGCAGUCAAAACUGAAACAUGACUUUUUGGUACACUUUGCACAGUUACUGAUGAUUUUAUCUGUCUUUUAGCUUAAUGAGCUUAUGUUUUUUAAGUGUGUUUUAUGAGUUAGAAUUUACUUACAUUACAUUUGGAAAAUUUUCACCAGUAUGCUCAACUGUUUUGCUGAUUAUUUUUACUAUUAUAUUUGACUAGGAAGAGGACUUGAAGAGCUUCCGUCAGUGGGGAAGCAAAACCCCUGGACACCCUGAAAACUUUGAGACACCUGGUGUUGAAGUCACCACCGGUUUGUGCACUUUUUUUUAUGUCCCGUGUACACUUAUAAGUAGCACUUGUAUAUCUGGGGGUGAAUUAUAUAUUUUGACUACAUGACUUUUCGCUGCGAGCUGUAUAACUAAUUAAGAUCUUUAUUUUCUUGCGGUUAGGGCCUCUGGGACAAGGUAUUGCCAAUGCCGUCGGCUUGGCCCUUGCAGAGAAACACUUGGCUGCUCGUUUCAAUAAGCCUGACGCUGAGAUUGUAGACCACUACACGUGAGAGUCUUCUCGCUCUCUCCUUUUUUUCCCCUUUAAUGCCAUAACAAUAGAACGAUUUAAUGCAACCUGUCUUUUGCUUAACUAAUGGGAAUGGCAUCGAUGAUUGGUCAUGCAGAUAUGUUAUUCUCGGUGAUGGUUGCCAGAUGGAGGGUAUUUCACAAGAAGCUUGUUCCCUUGCCGGACACUGGGGACUUGGAAAGCUGAUUGCUUUCUAUGAUGACAACCACAUCUCAAUUGAUGGUGACACAGAAAUCGCUUUCACCGAGGAUGUUGGUGCCCGUUUUGAGGCUCUUGGGUGGCACGUAAUCUGGGUGAAGAACGGUAACACUGGUUAUGAUGAGAUUCGUGCUGCUAUUAAGGAAGCAAAAACUGUCACAGACAAACCCACUAUGAUCAAGGUACUUUACCUUCUGCAUCUUUAUGUUGGCUACUACGAGGUGAUCCUGAAAAGUCGCAUAUGAUUGAAUUACUGUAUAGACUUUGCUGCAUUGGUAACUUUACAUUUCAUUUUUGCAAAUCCCAUUUCCUUCUUUUUUUUCCUCAGUCAGGGUGCAGGAUUAAUUCAUUAUUUGUAGUGCUGCUAAUACGGUUCCUUGAUAGAUUCAUCUCGUAUCGUUUAUCAUUAGGUUUACUGAACUUUCCUCCUUUCAGGUGACUACAACCAUUGGUUUUGGCUCGCCCAACAAGGCAAACAGUUACAGUGUACAUGGAAGUGCACUUGGAGCUAAGGAAGUAGAGGCCACCAGGAGUAACUUGGGAUGGCCUUAUGAGCCUUUCCAUGUGCCUGAAGAUGUCAAGAGGUAUUAUUCCAUUCCCUUUCUCCUCUGAUUCAUUUGAACAUUGCUGGUUACUUACGAGCUAUUGGUAUUCACUUGCUACUUUUUUUGCAGCCAUUGGAGUCGUCAUGUUCCCGAGGGUGCUGCUCUUGAAGCUGGGUGGAAUACCAAGUUUGCUGAAUAUGAGAAGAAGUACCCAGAGGAAGCUGCAGAACUCAAAUCCAUUACUACUGGUGAACUACCUGCUGGCUGGGAGAAAGCUCUUCCUGUAAGUGGUCAUUUUCAUCUUUCUCUCUCUUAUUUCAAGCUGAGUUCAACUGCUUUUGGUUUGGGCUAUCCUCAUAUUAAGUUCUUAGCUUUGGGGUGUGGUUUUUGAAUUUUUGCCUCGUAUAGUAGACGAGAGAGGUUAUUUCAUUUGUACUCCUGUACUUUUAUCUUCCCUGAUCAGUCACAGUUCCUCAGUCAUCCUUUUAUUCUUGCUCAAAAUUGAUACUCGUCUACUUUUGAAACAUGUGAAUCUUUCCUAAUCCAGUUAUUUGCUUGCUUUCUCAAUCUCAGACCUACACACCUGAAAGUCCAGCGGAUGCCACCAGAAACCUGUCCCAACAAAACCUGAAUGCUCUUGCCAAGGUUCUUCCUGGUUUCCUUGGUGGUAGUGCUGAUCUUGCCUCAUCAAACAUGACCCUCAUGAAAAUGUUUGGUGACUUCCAAAAGAACACCCCUGAGGAGCGUAAUUUAAGGUUUGGUGUCCGUGAAC
rnacentral:lncRNA from 1 species